CGUGAACCGCACGAAAGCCGGAAGUGAACUUUGCACUUAACGAUUGCAUCAGACAAUGAAAUACAGAUCGAACUGUUUAGGUUUAUAUUUAAGGGAAAUAAAUACAUAGUUUUGUUAAAAAUAUACGGCUAACCAGGAACUAAGUUGGAUGCACUAUUAUCUAAGGAAUAUCGCCACAGAAGUAAGACAUUUUCGAACAGUUUAUUGACACAUUUAGCCUAGUAAUAUUGGAUUUAAGUUACGAUAUCUAAAUAUUAUUUAAUUACUUUAUUUACUUUAUAUAGAUCGAAUUGUACCUUGGUAUAUUUAAUGAUUCGUUAUUAAUUUAUCAAUAAUACGAUUUGCGAUACUUCCUUUGCGUGUGCAUGUGUGUUUAUAUGGAUUUUGCUAACCGGUCGUCUCUGUUCUGAGGAAACACUAUUCGAUUUCUUGCUAACUACGUAUUCCGAGGAAUUUGAGACGAAUUUUACGACGAUAAACAACGAUAUUUACAAUGCCACCGACCGAGGAUAUCGAGGAGACAUUAAAGAAAGCUAAGAUGAAACGACGAAACGGAAAAUCGACGUUAACACGCCUAGGAAAAGUUAUUAUUGUACAA